rnacentral:rRNA from 1 species
ACGCUACGUUCAGAGUUUGAUCCUGGCUCAGGAUGAACGCUGACAGAAUGCUUAACACAUGCUAAGUCGACUCGAGUCUUCGGACUUGGGUGGCGCACGGGUGAGUAACGCGUAAAGAACUUGGCCUCUUAGUGGGGAAUAACCCGGAGAAAUCCGGACUAAUACCGCAUACACUUAGUUAUCCGCAUGGAUGAUUAAGGAAAGAUUUAUUGCUAAGAGAUAGGCAUGCGUUCCAUUAGUUAGUUGGUGAGGUAACGGCCCACCAAGGCAAUGAUGGGUAGCCGGCCUGAGAGGGUGAACGGCCACAAGGGGACUGAGACACGGCCCAA